GACGAACGCUGGCGGCGUGCUUAACACAUGCAAGUCGAACGGAAAGGCCCUGCUUGCAGGGUACUCGAGUUGCGAACGGGUGAGUAACACGCGGGUGGUCUGCCCUGCACUUCGGGUUAAGCCUGGUAAACUGGGUCUAAUACCGGCUAGGUGCCAUUUUUAGUGUGAUGGUUGGAAAGUUUUUUCGGUGUUGGAUGUGCCUGCGGCCUAUCAGCUUGUUGGUGGGGUAAUGGCCUACCAAGGCGGCGACGGGUAGCCGGCCUGAGAGGGUGGACGGCCACAUUGGGACUGAGAGACGGCCCAGACGGCUACGGGAGGCAGCAGUGGGGAAUAUUGCAGAGUGGGCGCAAGUCUGAUGCAGCGACGCCGCGUGGGGGAUGACGGCCUUCGGGUUGUAAACACCUUUCGCUAGGGACGAAGAUUUUGUGACGGUACCUAGAUAAGAAGCACCGGCUAACUACGUG
rnacentral:rRNA from 1 species